AACCAUUGAUGAAAAUGAUUCUGCCAUAUGAGCUUUGCUGAUUCUACCCCCUACCGUUCCAUUCAGUCUGAGGUU